AACGAACGCUGGCGGCAUGCCUAACACAUGCCAGUCGAACGAAACCUCCGGGUCUAGUGGCGCAUGGGUUCGUAACGCGUGGGAACCUGCCCUUAUGUUCGGCCUAACUCUCCGAAAGGGGUGCUAACACCGGAUAAUGUCUUCGGACCAAAGAUUUAUCGACUUUGGUUGUGCCCGCGUUGGAUUAGCUAGUUGUGAGGGUCAAAGCAUCCCAAGCCGAGGAUCCAUAGCUGGUUAGAGAGGAUGGUCAGCCACACUGGGACUGAGACACGGCCCAGACUCCUACGGGAGGCGGGAAAGGGGGAUAUAGGAGAGUGGGCGGAAGGCUGAUCCAGCAAGGCCGCGAGAGUGAUGAUAGCCUUGGAGUUGUAAAGCGCUAGUACCCAGGAUGAUAGUGACGGUACCGGGAGAAUAAGCACCGGCUAACUCCGUG
rnacentral:rRNA from 1 species